GCUGGCGGCGUGGAUAAGACAUGCAAGUCGAGCGCUAAUUUCAGGGUAGCAAUAUUCUGGAGUUGGAGCGGCGCAAGGGUGCGUAACACGUGGGUAAUCUGCCAUGAAGUUCGGGAUAACUUGCUGAAAGGCGAGCUAAUACCGGAUGUGACAACCGAGGGGCAUCUCUUGGUUGUUAAAGUUGGGGACCGUAAGGCCUGACGCUUCUUGAUGAACCCGCGGCCUAUCAGCUAGUUGGUGAGGUAACGGCUCACCAAGGCUAAGACGGGUAGCUGGUCUGAGAGGACGACCAGCCACACUGGAACUGAGACACGGUCCAGACACCUACGGGUGGCAGCAGUCGAGAAUUUUUCACAAUGGGCGCAAGCCUGAUGGAGCGACGCCGCGUGGGGGAUGAAUGGCUUCGGCCCGUAAACCCCUGUCAUUCGCGAUCAAACCUUAUUAUUUAAAAGAUGAUGA
rnacentral:rRNA from 1 species